rnacentral:misc_RNA from 1 species
GAUGAAGAACGUAGCAAAAUGCGAUACGUAAUGUGAAUUGCAGAAUUCAGUGAAUCAUCGAAUCUUUGAACGCACAUUGCGCCUGCCAGCACUCUGGCAGGCAUGCCUGUUCGAGCGUCAUUUCAACCAUCAAGCCCUAGGCUUGCGUUGGAGCCCUGCGGCUGCCGCAGGCCCCUAAAAGCAGUGGCGGGCUCGCUAUCACACCGAGUGCAGUAGAUUACUCUUCGCUCAGGGCGUGUGGCGGGUUCCAGCCGUGAAACCCCCUACUUCUCAAGGUUGACCUCGGAUCAGGUAGGAAUACCCGCUGAACUUAAGCAUAUCAAUAAGCGGAGGA